rnacentral:rRNA from 1 species
GACGAACGCUGGCGGUGUGCCUCACACAUGCAAGUCGAACGGGGUAGCAAUACCCAGUGGCGGACGGGUGAGUAACGCGUGGGAAUCUGCCUUUAGGUGGGGAAUAACAGUUCGAAAGGACUGCUAAUUCCGCAUAUGCCGCAAGGUGAAAGGAGCAAUUCGCCUGAAGAUGAGCCCGCGUCCGAUUAGCUAGUUGGUAGGGUAAAAGCCUACCAAGGCUCCGAUCGGUAGCUGGUCUGAGAGGAUGAUCAGCCACAAUGGGACUGAGACACGGCCCUUACUCCUACGGGAGGCAGCAGUGGGGAAUUUUGUGCAAUGGGCGAAAGCCUGACACAGCGACACCGCGUGAGCGAAGAAGCCCUUUGGGGUGUAAAGCUCUGUCGUGAGGAACGAAUAAAUGACGGUACCUCAAGAGGAAGCAUCGGCUAACUACGUGCCAGCAGCCGCAGUAA